AAUCAACGCUGGCGGCGUGCCUAACACAUGCAAGUUGAGCGCUUGAGGGGGGCAACCCCCAAGAGAGCAGCGAACGGGUGAGUAACGCGUGGGUGAUCUUCCUUCGAGUGGGGAACAACAUCGGGAAACUGGUGCUAAUUCCGCAUAAUAUCCUCGGGCCACGAGCCUGGGGAUCAAAGCCGGGGACCGCAAGGCCUGGCGCUUGAAGAUGAGCCCGCGUCCGAUUAGCUAGUUGGCGGGGUAAUGGCCCACCAAGGCUCCGAUCGGUAGCCGGCCUGAGAGGGCGGACGGCCACACUGGAACUGAGACACGGUCCAGACUCCUACGGGAGGCAGCAGUGGGGAAUUUUUCGCAAUGGGCGCAAGCCUGACGAAGCAACGCCGCGUGGAGGAUGAAGGUCUUCGGAUUGUAAACUCCUGUCGACCGGGACGAAUGCACUCGACCUAAUACGUCGGAAUGUUGACGGUACCGGUGGAGGAAGCCACGGCUAACGUCUGUGCCAGCAGCCGCGGUAAUC
rnacentral:rRNA from 1 species